GACAGUAUAGCUCAGUGGUAGAGUGCGUGCUUAGUAUGCAUAAGAUCCUGGGUUCCAUCCCAGUACCUCCA
rnacentral:tRNA from 1 species